rnacentral:rRNA from 1 species
UACGGAGGGUGCGAGCGUUGUCCGGAAUCACUGGGCGUAAAGGGCGCGUAGGCGGCUCAGGCAAGCGGGCGGUGAAAGCCCGGGGCUCAACCCCGGGUCGGCCGUGCGAACUGCGGAGCUGGAGCACUGUAGGGGCAGAUGGAAUUCCGGGUGUAGCGGUGGAAUGCGUAGAGAUCCGGAAGAACACCGGUGGCGAAGGCGGUCUGCUGGGCAGUGGCUGACGCUGAGGCGCGACAGCGUGGGGAGCAAACAGG